ACCUUUUUUUUAUCAUCUCGCGGUCUCGGCAAAACAGAAAGCGAUGCAUCUCUUGCGGAUCGGGUUCGUUUUUAUUCUCCUCUUUUCUUUCGGGAUCGUGACUGGGUCCGACGUCAAAAAUCCAGCCGGACAAAUCACCAACUUGUACUUCAUCAAGGCGCCUCGGCGAUCAUGCAAAGACGGACAAGUUUGGACGGCGGGAAAGUGCCGACACAGCAUCAACCACCGGAAACACAUAACGUUACAAUAUAAAAAACAUAGUGUGGUAUAGUUUUAUGAUUUUUGUAACGUACAUUAAAUAAAUUGAUAGCUAAUUUUUUUUAAAUAUUUUUUCCCUUUUUGCAUGAAUCCAACGAUUAUGUAAUACCAUAUAAUAUUUACAAAAUUACAAAGAAAAAGGGCAUUAAACGAUCGAGGAUGUGGUCCAAGGAAUGUUCGGAUGUUGAAAAUAAGCCAAGCUUUCGGUGUUUUAUUUCACCUUCCUCAGGGCAAGUUUCUCUGAAUUUAAAAUUGUUUUUCUUUUCAACAUGUAUAAAUAUUUUUUUACUCUUUUUGACAUUUCGUACACUGAGUCCAAUGUUUUCAAUAAAUAAAUAAAUGGCACUUAUUACAAACUA